GCCUAACACAUGCAAGUCGAUGGGUAAUGUUCAGCUUGCUGAACACACGACCGGUGCACGGGUGAGUAUCGCGUCUGCAACUUACCUCUAACUGGGACAUAGCCCGAAGAAAUUUCGGAUUAAUAUCCCAUAAUAUAUUGAAGAGGCAUCUCUUUAAUAUCAAAGCCUCAGGCGGUUAUAGAUGGGCAUGCGUGUCAUUAGCUUGUUGGUGAAGUAAGCGGCUCACCAAGGCUACGAUGACUAGGGGGUCUGAGAGGAUGAUCCCCCACACUGGUACUGAUACGCGGACCAGACUCCUACGGGAGUGCAGCAGUGAGGAAUAUUGGGCAAUGGACGCAAGUCUGACCCAAUCAUGCCGCGUGCAGGAUGACGGGCCUAUGGGUUGUAAACUGCUUUUAUUACGGAAGAAUGGUUCCUACGUGUAGGGAUUUGACGGUACCUAAAGAAUACGCAUCGGCUAACUCCGUGCCAGCAGCCGCGGUAACUACGGAUGAUGCACGCGUAAUCCGGAUUCAUUGGGUUCAAAGGGUGCGCAGGCGGAAUAUUAAGUCAGUGGUGAAAUCCUGCAGCUUAACUGUAGAACUGUCAUUGAUACUGGUAUUCUUGAAUAUAGUUGAGGUGGGCGUAAUGUGUGAUGUAGCGGUGAAAUGCUUAGAUAUUACGCAGAACACCGAUUGCGAAGGCAGCUCAGUAAACUAAUAUUGACGCUGAGGCACGAGAGCGUGGGGACCGAACAGGAUUAGAUACCCUGGUAGUCCACGCAGUAAACUAUGAUCA
rnacentral:rRNA from 1 species